GACGAACGCUGGCGGCGUGCUUAACACAUGCAAGUCGAACGAUGAACCCGGAGCUUGCUCUGGGGGAUUAGUGGCGAACGGGUGAGUAACACGUGAGUAACCUGCCCUGGACUCUGGGAUAAGCGUUGGAAACGACGUCUAAUACCGGAUAGGACCUUGGAUCGCAUGAUCUGGGGUGGAAAGUUUUUUCGGUCUGGGAUGGACUCGCGGCCUAUCAGCUUGUUGGUGGGGUAAUGGCUCACCAAGGCGUCGACGGGUAGCCGGCCUGAGAGGGUGACCGGCCACACUGGGACUGAGACACGGCCCAGACUCCUACGGGAGGCAGCAGUGGGGAGUAUUGCACAAUGGGCGAAAGCCUGAUGCAGCAACGCCGCGUGCGGGAUGACGGCCUUCGGGUUGUAAACCGCUUUUAGUAGGGAAGAAGGGCUUCGGCUUGACGGUACCUGCAGAAAAAGGACCGGCUAACUACGUG
rnacentral:rRNA from 1 species